rnacentral:rRNA from 1 species
UACGUAGGUGGCAAGCGUUGUCCGGAAUUAUUGGGCGUAAAGCGCGCGCAGGCGGUCCUUUAAGUCUGAUGUGAAAGCCCACGGCUCAACCGUGGAGGGUCAUUGGAAACUGGGGGACUUGAGUGCAGAAGAGGAGAGUGGAAUUCCACGUGUAGCGGUGAAAUGCGUAGAUAUCGAGAGGAACACCUGCGGCGAAGGCGGGUUGCUGGGCUGACACUGACGCUGAGGCGCGAAAGCCAGGGGAGCGAACGGG